rnacentral:rRNA from 2 species
GCCUAUACAUGCAGUCGAACGAACUCUGGUAUUGAUUGGUGCUUGCAUCAUGAUUUACAUUUGAGUGAGUGGCGAACUGGUGAGUAACACGUGGGAAACCUGCCCAGAAGCGGGGGAUAACACCUGGAAACAGAUGCUAAUACCGCAUAACAACUUGGACCGCAUGGUCCGAGUUUGAAAGAUGGCUUCGGCUAUCACUUUUGGAUGGUCCCGCGGCGUAUUAGCUAGAUGGUGGGGUAACGGCUCACCAUGGCAAUGAUACGUAGCCGACCUGAGAGGGUAAUCGGCCACAUUGGGACUGAGACACGGCCCAAACUCCUACGGGAGGCAGCAGUAGGGAAUCUUCCACAAUGGACGAAAGUCUGAUGGAGCAACGCCGCGUGAGUGAAGAAGGGUUUCGGCUCGUAAAACUCUGUUGUUAAAGAAGAACAUAUCUGAGAGUAACUGUUCAGGUAUUGACGGUAUUUAACCAGAAAGCCACGGCUAACUACGUGCCAGCAGCCGCGGUAAUACGUAGGUGGCAAGCGUUGUCCGGAUUUAUUGGGCGUAAAGCGAGCGCAGGCGGUUUUUUAAGUCUGAUGUGAAAGCCUUCGGCUCAACCGAAGAAGUGCAUCGGAAACUGGGAAACUUGAGUGCAGAAGAGGACAGUGGAACUCCAUGUGUAGCGGUGAAAUGCGUAGAUAUAUGGAAGAACACCAGUGGCGAAGGCGGCUGUCUGGUCUGUAACUGACGCUGAGGCUCGAAAGUAUGGGUAGCAAACAGGAUUAGAUACCCUGGUAGUCCAUACCGUAAACGAUGAAUGCUAAGUGUUGGAGGGUUUCCGCCCUUCAGUGCUGCAGCUAACGCAUUAAGCAUUCCGCCUGGGGAGUACGGCCGCAAGGCUGAAACUCAAAGGAAUUGACGGGGGCCCGCACAAGCGGUGGAGCAUGUGGUUUAAUUCGAAGCUACGCGAAGAACCUUACCAGGUCUUGACAUACUAUGCAAAUCUAAGAGAUUAGACGUUCCCUUCGGGGACAUGGAUACAGGUGGUGCAAGGGUUGUCGUCACCUCCUGUCCUGAGAAGUUUGGGUUAAAUCCCCCCACCAAGCGCAACCCUUAUUAUCAGUUGCCACCAUUAAAUUGGGGACUCUGGUGAGACUGCCCGUGACAACCCGAGGAAAGAGGGGGGGGAUGGAGGAAAAAACAAAAAAGGCCCCUUAUAACCGGGGGUACCACCGCCCCCAAUGGAAGGGGGA